UACGUAGGGUGCGAGCGUUAAUCGGAAUUACUGGGCGUAAAGCGUGCGCAGGCGGUUCGUUAAGUCAGAUGUGAAAGCCCCGGGCUCAACCUGGGAACGGCAUUUGAAACUGGCGGGCUGGAGUGUGGCAGAGGGGGGUGGAAUUCCACGUGUAGCAGUGAAAUGCAUAGAGAUGUGGAGGAACACCGAUGGCGAAGGCAGCCCCCUGGGCCAACACUGACGCUCAGGCACGAAAGUGUGGGGAUCAAACAGG
rnacentral:rRNA from 1 species